UACAGAGGUCUCGAGCGUUAGGCGGAAUCACUGGGCUUAAAGCGUGUGUAGGCGGCGGGCUAAGUACCUUGUGAAAUCCCUCAGCUUAACUGGGGAACUGCGUCUGAUACUGGAUGGCUUGGAUUCGGGAGAGGAAUGCGGAAUUCCAGGUGUAGCGGUGAAAUGCGUAGAUAUCUGGAGGAACACCGGUGGCGAAGGCGGCAUUCUGGACCGAUAUUGACGCUGAGGAGCGAAAGCCAGGGGAGCAAACGGG
rnacentral:rRNA from 1 species